AUCGGGAAUUCCCUCCCCCCCAUUCCCACUCCCUCCAUCCCUCCAUCCCUCACUGUCCCGGGGUCCCUCCUCCGCAGGCCGGGGCGGGGAGACGGUCCGCGGGAUCCGCCGGCUCUCCGGGGCCAGGGUGGAGUGUGGGCGGGAUCCCGAGGCCAGCCUGGCCCCACUGCGGGUCAUCCACAUCUCGGGGACGCGCCGGGAGGUCGAGGCCGCCAAGCGGCUGAUCCUGGAGAAGCUGUCGGAGGACGCAAGCGGUUCCGCAGGGACCUGGCGCAGGCAGCCGCCUCCCGCUGCCCUCGGAAGCAGCCUCCGCUGGGCAGCCGCCGGACCCGGAGCCGCUCCCGAGCCGCUCCGGCAGACCGCUUUCCCGCCGGGAUGUCGGAGAGGCCGCUGGGAUGGGGAGUGCUGGGAAGGGACAGUCCCCGGGCAGCGGGAUGGGAGCGAGGGGACGGAGGAGCCGGAGCUUGGGAACGAGGAGCCGGAGCUCGGGAAGGAGGAGCCGGAGUUUGGGAAGGAGGAGCCAGAGCUCGGGAAUGUGGAGACGGAGCUUGGGAAGGAGGAGCCGGAGCUCGGGAAUGUGGAGACGGAGGAUGGGAACGAGGAGCCGGAGCUCGGGAAGGAGGAGAUGGAGCUUGGGAAGGAGCUGGAGGAGCUGGAAAACGGGAACGAGGAGGUGGAGCUUGGGCUGGAGCUGAAGGAGCUGGAGAACGGGAAUGAGGAGCUGGAGAACGGGAAGGAGGAGCCGGAGAAUGGGAAGGAGGAGCCGCCAGUGGAAAAGUUUGAGGGUGAGGGUUUGUUGUCGCCCCUUGGGAUGGGGGUGGAAAACUCUGGGGAGGGAGAGGAGGGAAUGAGGAGCCAGAGGGUGGGAAUGAGGAGCCAGGGGUUGGGAAUGAGGAGCCAGAGGUUGGGAAUGAGGAGCCAGGGUUGGGAAUGGGAAGGCAGGGCUGGGAAUCAGGAGCCAGGGGCUGGGAAUCAGGAGCCAGAGGGUGGGAAUGAGCAGCCAGGGGUUGGGAAUGAGGAGCCAGGGCAGGGAAUGGGAAGCCAGAGGAUGGGAAUGAGGAGCCAGGGGCUGGGAAUAAUGAGCCA
rnacentral:lncRNA from 1 species